AUCUGACUUACUAGUGCGCUGACCCUUGUUUGCAGGGACUUCCACUGUUAAGGAACACAUAACCUGGACGACUUAAGGUACCACAGGGUGAAUUGUUAAUCUGUCCCCCAGGCUCAGUAACUGGAAUCUGUCCCUGCAUGGUAAAAGUGUGCAGGGCCUGGCUGGUUACUGCACCGAGGGGCCAGCCUACUCCACGCAGCCAGAUUAUCGUCAAGCAGAUGCAAACAAAUUCACACAAAUAACAGUGAUUUAUGUCCCAAUGGCUUUCAUAAAGGACAUUUGCAUGUUGGUAUUUCUUGUUUUAUUCAUUUAUUGGACUUUUUUUUUUUUUUUUUUUUUUUUUUUUUGAAAUGCAUCAAAUUGUGACCUUAAAAAAAUAAAUUAAAAGGAAAAACACUACUGCUCUUUUUCAAAGCUUUGUGGCACAUAAAGAAAAUGGAAAAAAAAAAAAAAAAAAUUAUCUCAGUAUUACGACAGAAUGUGCGUGAAUGUGACCCUCCUCACUCUGCAGCACCUGACAUGACCGGCAUGACCACUAGGUGGAGCAAGAUGAUCACUAUUGAGACGCUGGUUAAACAUGAUCCUCAAGAAAAUGCAGCAAAUGUAGAGGAGACUUUGGUAUCUGGCACUUACUCCAGACACUGAUAUUUUUGGUUUCUUUUCUGGUGAAAAUGUCAGUUUACUUUGCAGCAACGUUUUAUGCGAGAACAGCAACUGUGUGGGUGGAGUGCAAAGCAUAAAGAUCUAUUGGCAUUUCAACUUGAGACCUCUAAAAUGAGUGGGCACACAUUUCAGAACCUCCUACUGCCAAAGAGAUAGACGUGCAUAUUAUGUGAAACAGCUGGAAUAUUGUGGGUGCAUAUUUAACAGUAAUGCUUAAAAACAUUCUUGUACCAUAGCAUUUUUUUUUAGUUAUCCUGAGUAAAUAUUUCACUUGCUCAGUGUCAAGUCUCUUUGGUCUACUGGCUCUGCAGCCAAAGCACUUUUCUCUAGUUAAAAUUUACUUUUUAACUAAAGCAGAAAAGAGGAAAAAAAAAGGUUUUACAUGAAUCAGGGACAUUAAACUAAAACUGGAUCACACCUGACAGAUAUUUUGGUAAAACUUGGCGUGUCCUCUUUUAGCCUGACACAUGACUGCCUCAC